CGGCCUCCCCCCCAUGAAAGGCCUGCCCCCCCCCCAAAUCCUGGCUACGCCCAUGAAGGCUGAUGGGAGAAGAGGAGAGAUGGAAGGAAGGUGUUGUGCUGGGAGGAAGGGACAACUUGAGAGCAGAGUAGGAGGGUUUGCUUGGAUUUGUGGGGGGGGGGGGUGAGGUAGGGGAGUUAACUGUCAUCAGAUUAAGAGCAGCUUUGUGAAAGGGCAGAUUUGGGGACUGUAUACUGCUGACAGGUGCCUCUAAUUUUAAAGGGCUUUAAAAAAAACACACCAGUCCAUUAAGUUCUUAUAAGUAUCUUUAUUAGGUUGCGGCCAACAGCAGUCCUACUCAGAGUAGCCCCCUUGGAAAUGAUAGACAUGGGUCCCACAGGGUCAUUGAUUUCUGAUUACAGGUAGGUAGCCGUGUUGGUCUGCCGUAGUUGAAACAAAAUAAAAAAAAAAUCCUUCCAGUAGUAGCACCUUAGAGACCAACUAAGUUUGUUAUUGGUAUGAGCUUUCGUGCGCAUGCACACUUCUUCAGAUACCUUCUUAUACUUCUUAUCUGAAGAAUAAUCCAGAGAAUGCUCCUCUUUUUCAAGAGACACUGCACAGAGAUAUUCCUCAGCACAUUAACAAAAAAGCAUUGCGAUUACUCAUUUAUUUAUUGGCUGUCCUUCACCCUAAGGUCCCAGAGAGGGCUAGAAACAAUGAGAACACCAUGGUGUUGAUUUUAAAAAAGGGGGAGGUUCAAAAAAGGAAAUAUAAACAUAACCCCCUCAUAAAGAGAAGCUUCCCUCCCCAAGAAUAUAGAGUUCCAGAUUUUCAAAUGUGAGUCCGCUGGUUGCCACUGAGCUGGAUGUUCUGCGGAGCAUGCGAUGAAGGGGUACCAUGUGUGUAUUAAAAUCAUCCUCGUCUCUCUCUCUCUCUCUCCAGCAAAAGCUUUCUCUUCCUUGGUCAGCUUUCCUGAGGGCGCCUAAAGAAUUGAAGUGAUCUCCCUGGGGCACAAGCCUGGGCAGUGUGUUUGGAGAUCCUGGGCUCCUCAGAUAGCAAGACACCCGCAUCCUGUCACCCUCACUGAUGGGGUCCAAAGGAAAGCAGAACAAGAUGUUUGGCCCCAGCAUGGCUUUAGGAGUUGCUGGAAGGAGGCGGACAAGGUGCCACCCAACUGUCUUAAGGACUCCACUCUGGAUUUGUGUAGGAUUUACUCCUGAGCCGAAUGGAGAAUGAAACUGAUGGACUAUGCAGAAUUAGAUAAACUAACAGGAAGGAUUCGAAACCUGCGGGACCAGAGAUUCUCAGAAGACUGGAGUAAAUUUACGGACUAUUUGAAAAGUAACUGUGAUGAACAGAUUAUGCUAGUAGGUCUGCAAGAAGUUUUGUAAGGUGAAUUAUUUGAAAUAUUGCAAAAAAGACAAUGAGGAGAAUUAUUAGUUAAAGAUAAUUAAAGGUAAUAUGAAAUUAAGAAAUGCAUAAUAAAUGAUAAGAACGAAAAAUCAUCAGGGGUGUUGACGGAAG